rnacentral:rRNA from 1 species
AUUGAACGCUGGCGGCAGGCUUAACACAUGCAAGUCGAGCGGGGUGAUGGUGCUUGCACUAUCACUUAGCGGCGGACGGGUGAGUAAUGCUUAGGAAUCUGCCUAUUAGUGGGGGACAACAUCUCGAAAGGGAUGCUAAUACCGCGUACGUCCUACGGGAGAAAGCAGGGGAUCACUUGUGACCUUGCGCUAAUAGAUGAGCCUAAGUCGGAUUAGCUAGUUGGUGGGGUAAAGGCCUACCAAGGCGACGAUCUGUAGCGGGUCUGAUAGGAUGAUCCGCCACACUGGGACUGAGACACGGCCCAGACUCCUACGGGAGGCAGCAGUGGGGAAUAUUGGACAAUGGGGGGAACCCUGAUCCAGCCAUGCCGCGUGUGUGAAGAAGGCCUUAUGGUUGUAAAGCACUUUAAGCGAGGAGGAGGCUCUUUUGGUUAAUACCCAAGAUGAGUGGACGUUACUCGCAGAAUAAGCACCGGCUAACUCUGUGCCAGCCGCCGCGGUAA